rnacentral:rRNA from 1 species
UACGUAGGGGGCAAGCGUUAUCCGGAAUUACUGGGUGUAAAGGGAGAGUAGGCGGCAUGGUAAGUUAGAUGUGAAAGCCCGUGGCUUAACCACGGGAUUGCAUUUAAAACUAUCAAGCUAGAGUACGGGAGAGGAAAGUGGAAUUCCUAGUGUAGCGGUGAAAUGCGUAGAUAUUAGGAAGAACACCAGUGGCGAAGGCGACUUUCUGGACCGAAACUGACGCUGAGGCUCGAAAGCGUGGGGAGCAAAC